AUAAUGGGUCAGCGACUUAUAUUCUGUAGCAAGGUUAACCGAAUAGGGGAGCCGAAGGGAAACCGAGUCUUAACUGGGCGUUAAGUUGCAGGGUAUAGACCCGAAACCCGGUGAUCUAGCCAUGGGCAGGUUGAAGGUUGGGUAACACUAACUGGAGGACCGAACCGACUAAUGUUGAAAAAUUAGCGGAUGACUUGUGGCUGGGGGUGAAAGGCCAAUCAAACCGGGAGAUAGCUGGUUCUCCCCGAAAGCUAUUUAGGUAGCGCCUCGUGAAUUCAUCUCCGGGGGUAGAGCACUGUUUCGGCAAGGGGGUCAUCCCGACUUACCAACCCGAUGCAAACUGCGAAUACCGGAGAAUGUUAUCACGGGAGACACACGGCGGGUGCUAACGUCCGUCGUGAAGAGGGAAACAACCCAGACCGCCAGCUAAGGUCCCAAAGUCAUGGUUAAGUGGGAAACGAUGUGGGAAGGCCCAGACAGCCAGGAUGUUGGCUUAGAAGCAGCCAUCAUUUAAAGAAAGCGUAAUAGCUCACUGGUCGAGUCGGCCUGCGCGGAAGAUGUAACGGGGCUAAACCAUGCACCGAAGCUGCGGCAGCGACGCUGAUGCGUUGUUGGGUAGGGGAGCGUUCUGUAAGCCUGUGAAGGUGUGCUGUGAGGCAUGCUGGAGGUAUCAGAAGUGCGAAUGCUGACAUAAGUAACGAUAAAGCGGGUGAAAAGCCCGCUCGCCGGAAGACCAAGGGUUCCUGUCCAACGUUAAUCGGGGCAGGGUGAGUCGACCCCUAAGGCGAGGCCGAAAGGCGUAGUCGAUGGGAAACAGGUUAAUAUUCCUGUACUUGGUGUUACUGCGAAGGGGGGACGGAGAAGGCUAUGUUGGCCGGGCGACGGUUGUCCCGGUUUAAGCGUGUAGGCUGGUUUUCCAGGCAAAUCCGGAAAAUCAAGGCUGAGGCGUGAUGACGAGGCACUACGGUGCUGAAGCAACAAAUGCCCUGCUUCCAGGAAAAGCCUCUAAGCAUCAGGUAACAUCAAAUCGUACCCCAAACCGACACAGGUGGUCAGGUAGAGAAUACCAAGGCGCUUGAGAGAACUCGGGUGAAGGAACUAGGCAAAAUGGUGCCGUAACUUCGGGAGAAGGCACGCUGAUAUGUAGGUGAAGUCCCUCGCGGAUGGAGCUGAAAUCAGUCGAAGAUACCAGCUGGCUGCAACUGUUUAUUAAAAACACAGCACUGUGCAAACACGAAAGUGGACGUAUACGGUGUGACGCCUGCCCGGUGCCGGAAGGUUAAUUGAUGGGGUCAGCGCAAGCGAAGCUCUUGAUCGAAGCCCCGGUAAACGGCGGCCGUAACUAUAACGGUCCUAAGGUAGCGAAAUUCCUUGUCGGGUAAGUUCCGACCUGCACGAAUGGCGUAAUGAUGGCCAGGCUGUCUCCACCCGAGACUCAGUGAAAUUGAACUCGCUGUGAAGAUGCAGUGUACCCGCGGCAAGACGGAAAGACCCCGUGAACCUUUACUAUAGCUUGACACUGAACAUUGAGCCUUGAUGUGUAGGAUAGGUGGGAGGCUUUGAAGUGUGGACGCCAGUCUGCAUGGAGCCGGCCUUGAAAUACCACCCUUUAAUGUUUGAUGUUCUAACGUUGACCCGUUAUCCGGGUUGCGGACAGUGUCUGGUGGGUAGUUUGACUGGGGCGGUCUCCUCCUAAAGAGUAACGGAGGAGCACGAAGGUUGGCUAAUCCUGGUCGGACAUCAGGAGGUUAGUGCAAUGGCAUAAGCCAGCUUGACUGCGAGCGUGACGGCGCGAGCAGGUGCGAAAGCAGGUCAUAGUGAUCCGGUGGUUCUGAAUGGAAGGGCCAUCGCUCAACGGAUAAAAGGUACUCCGGGGAUAACAGGCUGAUACCGCCCAAGAGUUCAUAUCGACGGCGGUGUUUGGCACCUCGAUGUCGGCUCAUCACAUCCUGGGGCUGAAGUAGGUCCCAAGGGUAUGGCUGUUCGCCAUUUAAAGUGGUACGCGAGCUGGGUUUAGAACGUCGUGAGACAGUUCGGUCCCUAUCUGCCGUGGGCGCUGGAGAACUGAGGGGGGCUGCUCCUAGUACGAGAGGACCGGAGUGGACGCAUCACUGGUGUUCGGGUUGUCAUGCCAAUGGCACUGCCCGGUAGCUAAAUGCGGAAGAGAUAAGUGCUGAAAGCAUCUAAGCACGAAACUUGCCCCGAGAUGAGUUCUCCCUGACUCCUUGAGAGUCCUGAAGGAACGUUGAAGACGACGACGUUGAUAGGCCGGGUGUGUAAGCGCAGCGAUGCGUUGAGCUAACCGGUACUAAUGAACCGUGAGG
rnacentral:rRNA from 1 species